rnacentral:rRNA from 1 species
UACAGAGGGGGCAAGCGUUGUUCGGAAUUACUGGGCGUAAAGGGCGCGUAGGCGGCCUGCUAAGUCGAACGUGAAAUCCCUGGGCUCAACCCAGGAACUGCGUCCGAUACUGGUUGGCUUGAAUCCGGGAGAGGGAUGUGGAAUUCCAGGUGUAGCGGUGAAAUGCGCAGAUAUCUGGAGGAACACCGGUGGCGAAGGCGGCAUCCUGGACCGGCAUUGACGCUGAGGCGCGAAAGCGUGGGGAGCAAACAGG